rnacentral:rRNA from 1 species
CACGUGAGGCACCAAGCGUUAUCCGGAUUUAUUGGGCGUAAAGAGCUACGUAGGCGGUUCGGUAAGUCGGGUGAUGAAAACUCGUGGGCUACAACCCCAGGAGAGGCCACCCGAUACUGCUGUGACUAGAGUGCGGUAGGGGAGCGGGGAAUUCCUGGUGUAGCGGUGAAAUGCGCAGAUAAUCAGGAGGAACACCGGUGGCGAAGGCGGGUCUCUGGGCCGUAACUCGACGCUGAGGAGCGAAAGCAUGGGGAGCGAACAGGA